AACGAUGAACACUAGGUGUCGGGGGAAUCGACCCCUUCGGUGUCGUAGCUAACGCGUUAAGUGUUCCGCCUGGGGAGUACGCACGCAAGUGUGAAACUCAAAGGAAUUGACGGGGGCCCGCACAAGCGGUGGAGUAUGUGGUUUAAUUCGAUGCAACGCGAAGAACCUUACCAGGGUUUGACAUCCUGCGAACCUCUUAGAAAUUUGAGGGUGCCUUCGGGAAUGCAGUGACAGGUGGUGCAUGGCUGUCGUCAGCUCGUGUCGUGAGAUGUUGGGUUAAGUCCCGCAACGAGCGCAACCCACGUUUUUAGUUGCCAGCAUUUAGUUGGGCACUCUAGAAAGACCGCCGGUGAUAAACCGGAGGAAGGUGUGGAUGACGUCAAGUCAUCAUGCCCCUUACACCCUGGGCUACACACGUACUACAAUGCUACGGACAAAGGGCAGCAAACUCGCGAGAGCUAGCAAAUCCCAUAAACCGUGGCUCAGUUCAGAUCGUAGGCUGCAACUCGCCUACGUGAAGUAGGAAUCGCUAGUAAUCGCAGGUCAGCAUACUGCGGUGAAUACGUUCCCGGGCCUU
rnacentral:rRNA from 1 species